rnacentral:tRNA from 1 species
GGGCAGCUAGCUCAAUGGUAGAGCAUUUUCUUGACGUGAAAAGGGUUACAGGUUCGAAUCCUGUGCUGCCCA